rnacentral:rRNA from 1 species
GAUGAACGCUGGCGGCGUGCCUAAUACAUGCAAGUCGAGCGAACAGACGAGGAGCUUGCUCCUCUGACGUUAGCGGCGGACGGGUGAGUAACACGUGGAUAACCUACCUAUAAGACUGGGAUAACUUCGGGAAACCGGAGCUAAUACCGGAUAAUAUAUUGAACCGCAUGGUUCAAUAGUGAAAGACGGUUUUGCUGUCACUUAUAGAUGGAUCCGCGCCGCAUUAGCUAGUUGGUAAGGUAACGGCUUACCAAGGCAACGAUGCGUAGCCGACCUGAGAGGGUGAUCGGCCACACUGGAACUGAGACACGGCCCAGACUCCUACGGGAGGCAGCAGUAGGGAAUCUUCCGCAAUGGGCGAAAGCUUGACGGAGCAACGCCGCGUGAGUGAUGAAGGUCUUCGGAUCGUAAAACUCUGUUAUUAGGGAAGAACAAAUGUGUAAGUAGCUAUGCACGUCUUGACGGUACCUAAUCAGAAAGCCACGGCUAACUACGUG